AUCUAGUUGGCGUUUCUUCUUGCUCUUCUGCUUCUAUGGUGGACUCUUUUAGUCCAGGACAGUGGGACCACCCCACAAAUUCACAGUACUUGGGAUUUUGUGACAUUAGUGUCCAGAAUAACGCAAGCACUUCAAACCCAAUGGGAAUUAGAAAAGGCGGUCCUGCUUCUUUGAGGACUGGUCUUGAUAAAACGCUGGAUAUAGGGUGGAAU
rnacentral:misc_RNA from 1 species